GAAUUUAAUUCUGCAAUGGGCGACACGUAGGGAAACCCAUGUGGGAUCUCCUAUCAAAUUCGGGGAAGCCUGUAGCGAGGUAAUCCCGAGCCAAGCUUCAUUAGGUUUAAAACUAGUGAAGAAGGUGUAGAGACUUAAUGGUAGGCACCCUGAUGAGGGGUGAAGAGAAAGUCCAGACCACAAACCUUUCUUAAGAAGGAG
rnacentral:ncRNA from 1 species